CCCCUUUGGUGGAUGCUGACACCUGCCAUAACACUGGCUGAACUUGAGGAGCAAUGGCAAAGUAGAUCCCAGGACAGCAUCUUUGGGGCCCGAAGGAUUUGUUCUUCAGGCACUUUCUAAAGCAAAACAACUGGAUUCUCUGCUGCACACCUGCGGUCCUAAUCUCAACAGCAGGGACCCUGCAAAGGUGUCCAGGCCAUGACUUUAGACGACGACAGGAUCCAGACAAAACUCCGCCACAGCCGCUGUGCCACAGAGACCUGAACAGGGAGCUUUGGGACCUGGGUUUUGUGUUCCCUUUCCUUCCCCACCAAAUGUAGUAUAUAUAUUUGGUUAUAGAAAUCGUCGUUCUGUGUCAACAUCUUCAUGAGUAACAGUGAGCCUCGUGUCCAACCUGACAUUCCCACUGUAGCUCAGAUGGCCUCUGUAAGAACCCGCCCUUCAGCUCAGGAUACUUCCUGGCGCUGAACGAUGAAUACUCCACAUGAGAACGACUGAAGGUUCGCGUUCGUCUUGCCUUUCUUUCGGGGACAAAACACCCCUUCCUUUCUGUGCAAUUUUCUGAGUAUUUUCUAAUUGUCCCAUUUGUCUCCCGAAUAUACACAUCAAAUUAGCUACAGGGCCCAGGCCUAUCUUACAGAUAAAUUCUUACGAAGCAUUAUUAUUUAUUAAAUUAUUUAUUACCAUUAAUUUAUUUAAGUGGAAUUAAACUGUGGCUGUGAAUGAAUUUUCUUUGUACCUAAUGAGAUGAUAUGCUAUAGUAGGAAGAACUGGAUUUCGAGGGAAAAAUCUAAGUGUACAAGUAAAGGACUCUUUAUAAGCCCUUGUUAGCGGAGUAAAACUGGGCAACUCAUAAUUCCUGUUUAUCUGCUGCCCUAUGAAAUGUGAAUAAUCAUGCGUCCCUUGCCCAUUUCAUAUGUUUUUUAUGAAGAUCCAAUGAAAAAGGAAGUUAUUUUCGUAUGACAAGUAUCAAUGUCAGGAAUUCCUAUGCAGAUGGCACCCUCUGACUUCCACAUCCUUUUUCAGCAUGUGGUUUUCAUCAUCCUUUCUCUGUGUGUUAUAUGGAGCCUGGCUUCGGUUUCGAAAGUUUUGCUGUGUUGGAAACACCACAUGUAAAUUCCAUCCAGUCAUAGAGGAGAGCUUCAUUCUUCCUCAUUUCAUUAAGUAUGAACUGGGUGAUCACCGAGAGCAAACCACUGUUAGGGGGAAUAAAAGGGGCUUAGGGGACUUCGCAAGCCGCUUUUGCUUUCCGAAAGUAUGACAUGUCAUGAUGAAGCUGUGCAUCCAGCUCUCCAUACCCUGCGCCCCAGUGACAGCGUGCGUCCACUAUUACCAAGGAGCUCUCCAUACCCUGCACCCGAGUGACAGCACGUGUCCACUAUUACCAAGCAGCUCUCCAUACCCUGCACCCGAGUGACAGCAUGUGUCCACUCUUACCAAGGAGCUCUCCAUACCCUGCACCCGAGUGACAGCACGUGUCCACUCUUACCAAGGAGCUCUCCAUACCCUGCACCCGAGUGACAGCACGUGUCCACUCUUACCAAGGAGCUCUCCAUACCCUGCACCCGAGUGACAGCACGUGUCCACUAUUACCAAGCAGCUCUCCAUACCCUGCACCCGAGUGACAGCACGUGUCCACUCUUACCAAGGAGCUCUCCAUACCCUGCACCCGAGUGACAGCACGUGUCCACUAUUACCAAGGAGCUCUCCAUACCCUGCACCCGAGUGACAGCACGUGUCCACUCUUACCAAGGAGCUCUCCAUACCCUGCACCCGAGUGACAGCACGUGUCCACUAUUACCAAGCAGCUCUCCAUACCCUGCACCCGAGUGACAGCACGUGUCCACUCUUACCAAGGAGCUCUCCAUACCCUGCACCCGAGUGACAGCACGUGUCCACUAUUACCAAGCAGCUCUCCAUACCCUGCACCCGAGUGACAGCACGUGUCCACUCUUACCAAGGAGCUCUCCAUACCCUGCACCCGAGUGACAGCACGUGUCCACUAUUACCAAGCAGCUCUCCAUACCCUGCACCCGAGUGACAGCACGUGUCCACUCUUACCAAGGAGCUCUCCAUACCCUGCACCCGAGUGACAGCACGUGUCCACUAUUACCAAGGAGCUCUCCAUACCCUGCACCCGAGUGACAGCACGUGUCCACUCUUACCAAGGAGCUCUCCAUACCCUGCACCCGAGUGACAGCACGUGUCCACUAUUACCAAGCAGCUCUCCAUACCCUGCACCCGAGUGACAGCACGUGUCCACUCUUACCAAGGAGCUCUCCAUACCCUGCACCCGAGUGACAGCACGUGUCCACUAUUACCAAGGAGCUCUCCAUACCCUGCACCCGAGUGACAGCACGUGUCCACUCUUACCAAGGAGCUCUCCAUACCCUGCACCCGAGUGACAGCACGUGUCCACUAUUACCAAGGAGCUCUCCAUACCCUGCACCCGAGUGACAGCACGUGUCCACUCUUACCAAGGAGCUCUCCAUACCCUGCACCCGAGUGACAGCACGUGUCCACUAUUACCAAGCAGCUCUCCAUACCCUGCACCCGAGUGACAGCACGUGUCCACUCUUACCAAGGAGCUCUCCAUACCCUGCACCCGAGUGACAGCACGUGUCCACUAUUACCAAGGAGCUCUCCAUACCCUGCACCCGAGUGACAGCACGUGUCCACUCUUACCAAGGAGCUCUCCAUACCCUGCACCCGAGUGACAGCACGUGUCCACUAUUACCAAGCAGCUCUCCAUACCCUGCACCCGAGUGACAGCACGUGUCCACUCUUACCAAGGAGCUCUCCAUACCCUGCACCCGAGUGACAGCACGUGUCCACUAUUACCAAGCAGCUCUCCAUACCCUGCACCCGAGUGACAGCACGUGUCCACUAUUACCAAGCAGCUCUCCAUACCCUGCACCCGAGUGACAGCACGUGACCACUCUUACCAAGGAGCUCUCCAUACCCUGCACCCGAGUGACAGCACGUGUCCACUAUUACCAAGGAGCUCUCCAUACCCUGCACCCGAGUGACAGCACGUGUCCACUAUUACCAAGCAGCUCUCCAUACCCUGCACCCGAGUGACAGCACGUGUCCACUCUUACCAAGGAGCUCUCCAUACCCUGCACCCGAGUGACAGCACGUGUCCACUAUUACCAAGGAGCUCUCCAUACCCUGCACCCGAGUGACAGCACGUGUCCACUCUUACCAAGGAGCUCUCCAUACCCUGCACCCGAGUGACAGCACGUGUCCAUUAUUAUCAAGGAGCUCUCCAUACCCUGCACCCGAGUGACAGCACGUGUCCACUCUUACCAAGGAGCUCUCCAUACCCUGCACCCGAGUGACAGCACGUGUCCACUAUUACCAAGCAGCUCUCCAUACCCUGCACCCGAGUGACAGCACGUGUCCACUCUUACCAAGGAGCUCUCCAUACCCUGCACCCGAGUGACAGCACGUGUCCACUAUUACCAAGCAGCUCUCCAUACCCUGCACCCGAGUGACAGCACGUGUCCACUAUUACCAAGCAGCUCUCCAUACCCUGCACCCGAGUGACAGCACGUGACCACUCUUACCAAGGAGCUCUCCAUACCCUGCACCCGAGUGACAGCACGUGUCCACUCUUACCAAGGAGCUCUCCAUACCCUGCACCCGAGUGACAGCACGUGUCCAUUAUUAUCAAGGAGCUCUCCACACCCUGCACCCGAGUGACAGCACGCAUCCACUAUUACCAAGGAGCUCUCCAUACCCUGCACCCGAGUGACAGCGUGUGUCCACUAUUACCAAGGAGCUCUCCAUACCCUGCACCCAAGUGACAGCACGUGUCCACUGUUACCAAGGAGCUCUCCACACCCUGCACCCGAGUGACAGCACGUGUCCACUCUUACCAAGGAGCUCUCCAUACCCUGCACCCGAGUGACAGCACGUGUCCACUCUUACCAAGGAGCUCUCCAUACCCUGCACCCGAGUGACAGCACGUGUCCAUUAUUAUCAAGGAGCUCUCCACACCCUGCACCCGAGUGACAGCACGCAUCCACUAUUACCAAGGAGCUCUCCAUACCCUGCACCGAGUGACAGCACGUGUCCAUUAUUAUCAAGGAGCUCUCCAUACCCUGCACCCGAGUGACAGCACACAUCCACUAUUACCAAGGAGCUCUCCAUACCCUGCACCCGAGUGACAGCACGCAUCCACUAUUACCAAGGAGCUCUCCAUACCCUGAACCCGAGUGACAGCAUGUGUCCACUAUUACCAAGGAGCUCUCCAUACCCUGCACCCGAGUGACAGCAGGUGUCCACUAUUACCAAGGAGCUCUCCAUACCCUGCACCCGAGUGACAGCAGGUGUCCACUAUUACCAAGGAGCUCUCCAUACCCUGCACCCGAGUGACAGCACGUGUCCAUUAUUACCAAGGAGCUCUCCAUACCCUGCACCCCAAUGACAGUGUGCGCCCACUAUUACCAAGGAGCAAGGUGAGAGGCCUCGGGGUCAGGGGCCACCAGGUGUGCAUCCUGACCUGGCUGUGACACGCGGGGGAGGCUGAUCUUCCAGGUGAGGGUGGAGACUUGGGGUGCCAUCCUGUGCCAUGCAUCGGAGCAGGGAGGAGACAAAUGUGGCUGUGGGACCCAGGAUGUGAGGUGAGCUGGAAAGCCCAGCCUGCACCUCGGCUUUUCCGUAAGCAAUGAAGUCGUGGAUGAUUUCUGGGCCAGGGGCAGCAGGGUCCUGAGGAAGAAUCUCAUAGGAGGGAGAGUGAGCAGGAGCUUGGUAUCCUCAGUACUGAACCAUGCUCAGAGAAAUCCAAUCCUCAUAAAAUCUAUGUAUAGAACGGUGUCAAAUCCAAUCGCCCAUGGUGAUUUUAGGUAUUAAAACAGAUUUUUUGGAGAGCGGUUGCUAAGUAGGCUGAAGGCUGCCUUAAGGAGCACGUACGUGUGUGGUUCCUGACGUGUGAGCCUUGGCGGGUGCACACACCUCACUAAAGCGGUGAAUUAAAGUGUGAAGGACACCAUAUCUAAGAAUUUAAAUGUCUAAGCACCUAAGGUGGACCUCAUGCAGAACAUCAUAUGGCAACCACCCUUAUCUAAGUUGUAAGCCCUGCAGCAGAUGCCUGAAACCAUGGACAGAAACAAACCCCAGCCAAGACCCUCUGCAUGGCACAGCUGGCAAUGACAAAAUGCAAGUGGGGCCACCCCACACUCACCCCACCCCCACCAAACCCUCUCAGCCUUGUGGCAGAGCCUGGCCUGCUCCCAUGGUUCAGCAGAGGGCAGAGUGUGUUGCUCUCAGCGAAUGGAACCCCUGCAUUCCCCUAAGGGAGUGGCAAAAGGCUGUCCAACAACUCAUGAAGAACUUGCUCCCUCAGCCUUUCUGAGGGUGAACUUGGGUCCGGUUCCAGUGGGUGGAUGGAAAUGAAGGAAUACCAUGAAGGCUUUCCUUCCCGGAGAUGGAACCACGGUGCUUCUUCAGGGGUGGUGCCCCAUUUCCCUUCUUUCCUACCUAAAAAGAAGAUAUGUUAUCUUGAAAUACAGCCACCAUUUUGCAAAUAUAAGGCAAUGAACAUGAGGAUAAAACCCACAAGCUAAGGAUGGUGCCACGGGAGGACGGAAAGAUACUGGGAGAAAACCACAGCAAACAGCCGGAUUUCUCGUUCAGUGAGAAGAGCAAGCCCUAUUCACUCAAACCACCGUAAGCUGAGAGGAUUUCACAGCACACACGGCCCCUCCUGGACGGAGUCCCCAGGUUUUCACAAUGCCAGCACCCCAGGGCCACACACGCUGACAAAAGGACCCACGGCAGGGCUUGGGCCACGCUGACAAGUUUCCUUCUGAACAGCACCUGCUGCCUCUGAGGCUGAGACUGCCUCUGGGUUUCGGGGCUUGCUGGCCCCUAAUUCCUGAUUAAAUGGAAUCCCAUCUGCUGCAAGUUUAACGGCAGGUUUGUAAGCUUGCUCAAAAAGGAGAAAAAUGUGUUGCUGACCUGACUCUUAAAUGUCCUUCUGCCGAAAAAGAAUCUUUACCCGGAUGCAAAUUUCAUGGCAACGCAUUCUGUGGAAACCUCUCUUCCCUGAGAACGUGUUCACAGCUGCUGUGGGGAAUCCAAAUCCCACUGGGGCAAUCUCUGCAGCAAAACAUGGUCUCCUGCACCACACAUGGCUGACCUGACCAUGACUGCCCUCACCACAACUGCCCUCACCACACCCACCUUCAGAUGACCUGACCAUCGCUGCCCUCACUGCACCCACCUUCAGAGGACCUGACCAUCACUGCCCUCACUGCACCCACCUUCAGAGGGCUCAUGGUUAAGGCUUCCCCAGCCUGGGACCUCCAGCCUCUUCAGGGCACUCUACCUGCAUACUGGGCUUAUGGUUUGGGUAAAAUUGGGUGAAAUGAGUAAGAAUGUUUAGAGAAAAAGUAUGAGCUUAUUCUGUGCUUUUCACCCAGAACCUCCACAUUUCUGGUGGAGCGUGGAGAGAAGCAUGUCCCCUCCAGGGACACAGCCAGGGGUCCCCUGCAGUGGCUGUGCUUUCCGGUGUGAGGCACAUGAGGUCAUAAGGCCACCCGCUUGCCCACUCUGUCUUGCUUCCUGUUCCCCUGCAGGCCUCAAGGACAUAAGCUAACCGCCCCACCCCCCGACACGGACCGCAUGUCCAGGUGCCCCUUGCUCUGGAGAGCAGGGGAGGAGUGGCCUGAGGCUGCACACCCAGGAGCUGCUGGACCAGGUGGGAGGAGGCCAGCCACAAGGAUGCAGAAUCCUCCCGAUAGGGAGACAGAUGCAUGGAGUUUACCGCAGGGGGUUCAUUAUGUCCAAAAUCGAAUUGUAUGAGAAACAGUCUACCCGAUAGUGGAAUGUGUGGCCAGAAAUCCCACCCUCACUUUUCGAUUCUACACAGAGUAAUCUCUCCCUAUGAAUGUCAGUUAUUCUUGUGAUUAUUCCCAUAGCCAGUGUUUCAUUUCAGGGAUGGAGGUGGUAGUCAGUGCAGUACCACCAGCUGCCAAGUGCAGAACGGACGGCGUUUCAGCCCCACCUGAGCGCGGUCAGCUAGUCCUGCAACAGGCUCAUUACGUUCUUAGGCUCAGAGACUUGUGUAUCAGAUACUUCAACGAACACCAUGGACUUCUCCAUCUAUAUGUAAUUCUCCUCGAUUUUUAAAAUACCUUAAAAUCAGCAUUCAAACCCCUGAAUCAUCAAUAUCUUUAGAGGGGGGAUAACCUGAUACCUCAAACAGAGAAUUAGUGUCUCUCUUAAGGGCCAGAGGGAUCAGCAGAGGUUAAAAAGGGCAGCCUCAGAUCAGGGCAUAAGAAGCAUCCUUUGAAACAAGACACAGCUACAAAAAUAAAACGGAAGUUUAGGUAAUCGAGCAAAACACAUAUCUGCUGAUUUUUAUCAUUUUCAGUAAUUUGUUAUCUCACAAAUGGCUGUGAUGCAUACACAGGUCAUUUUGGCUGUUUUUACCUGCUUGGUCUUCGAAUAUUUUUGAUAUGACGACAGGGACGUUGUGCUCAGAACCUCCCUGAAAGACAAAGCCAUCAGAAAGAAACGUGGUUAUCAUGAUUCACACUGGAAAGUUCUUCAAAAAUAAAAAGCAGGAAUAGAGAAAACCAUUUCCAUACCUUUAUACUCAGGCCCAAGCCGCCAACUGGCUGUCUGCGGAGUGUAACAGUUCUGCGCUUUAAAACAUUUUAGAAAACAAACCAAGUUUAGGUUAAAAUGCACUAUCAGAAAGUGAAUUCAAAAGAAAUUCUUCAUUUAAACCCAAAUACGUGUUAAAUUAUAUUUCCAAAGCAACUUUGGCUAAAUAUGACAGUAAUGACACUAUUUCAAAUCUUUACUCCGUGGUAUUGCACGUAUGAAAACGAAGACAGUGAUAAAGAAUAGGCCCCAUUCCAGGCAUUGUCUGAAAUCCAGGAAGAAUCCCCACAGAACUGUCAUCCCGUCUGCAUUCUGCUUGUGAGGAACGGAGCUCCAUGAAGAAACGAGGGGUCCACCUUCUCCCAGGUGGUGAAAGGGAAGUGGGGCGGAGCACUCAGUCCUGUUUUAGAACCGCUCUCUACCCACCAACCCCAGGACCGGCUCACGCUUCACUGUACGUCUCUGCUGAAGUCAGCCGUGUUUAGGACAAUCUUCAACCAAUAUUAAUUCAUGAAUGAUCCAUUUUUUCACGUCCUCUGACCACAGAUGUCUGGGAUAUUUAAGGGUAGGUUGUGAUAAAAAGCUAAAAGCACAAUAGGCCUUUAACUGGCUAGUGAAAUGGUAAAAAAUCUCCAAAUCUCUUGCGCAUUAAGCCAUGCACCUAUGUUUUGCUGUGGUCUAAUCUGAUGAAUGCGACUGUUGCCAACUUCAGGUAGACAUGAGUGACUGGUGCUGCUCUGAGGGGGCGCACAGAGGCAGCCUGGGGUAGACGGACAGUGGCCAAAGGGUGCUUUUACCUCAAAAAUACACUACAGGAAAAACAGAAGUGACAGACAUUCUUUGAGUUCUAAGAGGAAACAUGAGCAUGUUCAGGCUGAAUGGCUCUGAAAGGAAUCUGCUGUGCAAAGCAAGGACAAAGAAGUAAAAGGGUGGCAGAGCCCACGCCGAAGGGGGGACCUGGGAGCUCCCGCCCCGGCCAGCGGUGCAGGUGCAGAUGCAGGGAGGCUGCUGUGAGGGCUUCCGCAGCCUGAGAUACCCCAGGAAUGUCCUUCUUAGGGGGAAAUACUUCAUAAACUCAAAGGAAAGAAACCAAAAAUUAGAGCAAAUAUACCUGUGUUAAAGUGUGUAUAUGGGGACACAGCAAAUAAUACUUUAAUUGGAAAUUUUACCAUUUCGAUCCUUUUUGGACAUAUAGUAUUUUUAACUGACAAAAAUAAUUUUAUACACAGAAAAAGAGCCGUAUUUCGGGGGCUUUGCUACAGAGUGAUCGUUUUGGCUUUUUCUUGGUGUUAGACUGUAUUCCAGAUACUGUGAACAGCAAAGUCAGAGCCACUCCUGGGACAUCCAUACCACGGGCUCUCAUUGCAUCCACAUUCUCAGUAUUUACCUGAAAUGCCACAGAUGCUUCCCAGUGACACUGCACCAAUGGACAGAGUAACAGGCUCUUAAACCUGCUCAUCAAAGCAUUACUGACAACAGCCAAGAUAUGGAUACAACCCAAGUGUCCACCAGUAGAUGCGAGAAUAAAGAAGAUGCAGUAGAUACACCGAAUGGAACAUCCUUCAGCCAUAAAGAAGGAAAUCCUGCCAUCUGUGGCAACAUGGAUGAGCCUGGAGGACACUGUGCCGAGUCGAAUAAGCCAGGCGCAGAAAGACAAAUACCACACGGUCUCCUGCAUGUGGAAUCUAAGGAUGUUGAACGCAGAAGCAGAGGGUAGAACCGUGUUUACCAGGGGCGUUCAGGGUUGGGGGGCGGAGGUGCAGGCCAAAGGGUGCAACAUUUCAGCUGUAAGGUAAACAAGUUCUGUGGCUCUAAUGGAAAGCAUGGUGACUAUGGUUAAUAAUACCAUAUUUCCUUAAAAUUUGCUAAGAGAAUAAACCUUACAUGUCCUCACCACAAAAAACAAAGGUAACUGUAAGAGGUGAUGUAUGUAUUAGCUUGUUUGUAGUGUGCAUUUCACAAUGUAUAUGCAUAUGAGAACAUACCCUGUACACCUUAAGCAUGUACAAUUUUUAUUAGUUGUAGCUCAAUAAAGCUGAAUAAAUAAAUCCC
rnacentral:lncRNA from 1 species